AUUGAACGCUGGCGGCAGGCCUAACACAUGCAAGUCGAGCGGAUGAAGGGAGCUUUCUCCUGGAUUCAGCGGCGGACGGGUGGGUAAUUCCUAGGAAUCUGCCUGGUAUUUGGGGAUAACGUCCGGAAACGGGCGCUAAUACCGCAUACGUCCUGAGGGAGAAAGUGGGGGAUCUUCGGACCUCACGCUAUCAGAUGAGCCUAGGUCGGAUUAGCUAGUUGGUGGGGUAAAGGCCUACCAAGGCGACGAUCCGUAACUGGUCUGAGAGGAUGAUCAGUCACACUGGAACUGAGACACGGUCCAGACUCCUACGGGAGGCAGCAGUGGGGAAUAUUGGACAAUGGGCGAAAGCCUGAUCCAGCAAUGCCGCGUGUGUGAAGAAGGUCUUCGGAUUGUAAAGCACUUUAAGUUGGGAGGAAGGGCAGUAAGUUAAUACCUUGCUGUUUUGACGUUACCAACAGAAUAAGCACCGGCUAACUUCGUG
rnacentral:rRNA from 1 species